rnacentral:rRNA from 1 species
GGCACCUGAUGGCGCGACGCCGCGUGGGGGAUGAAGGUCUUCGGAUUGUAAACUCCUGUCAUUGGGGACUAAUGGCCAGGCUCAUACCCUGGUUUGAAUUAACCCAAAGAGGAAGCAGUGGCUAACUCUGUGCCAGCAGCCGCGGUAAUACAGAGACUGCAAGCGUUACUCGGAUUCACUGGGCGUAAAGGGAGCGCAGGCGGACUCGUGUGUCUGACGUGAAAUACCGGGGCUUAACCCCGGUGCUGCGUAAGAAACUACGAGUCUAGAGACUUGGAGGGGUAAGCGGAAUUCUUGGUGGAGCAGUGAAAUGCGUAGAUAUCAAGAGGAACACCAACGGCGAAGGCAGCUUACUGGACAAGAUCUGACGCUCAGGCUCGAAAGCGUGGGGAGCAAAAGGGAUUAGAUACCCCUGUAGUCCACGCUGUAAACGGUGCGCAUUAGGUCUUGGAGCUUUCGAACGCUCCAGGGCUCAAGCUAACGCAUUAAAUGCGCCGCCUGAGGACUACGGCCGCAAGGCCUAAAACUCAAAGGAAUUGACGGGGGCCCGGACAAGCGGUGGAGCAUGUGGC